rnacentral:rRNA from 1 species
UACGUAGGGGGCAAGCGUUGUCCGGAAUCAUUGGGCGUAAAGAGCGUGUAGGCGGCCUGAUAAGUCGGCUGUGAAAGUCAAGGGCUCAACCCUUGAAUGCCGGCCGAUACUGUCAGGCUAGAGUCCGGAAGAGGCGAGUGGAAUUCCUGGUGUAGCGGUGAAAUGCGCAGAUAUCAGGAGGAACACCGAUGGCGAAGGCAGCUCGCUGGGACGGUACUGACGCUGAGACGCGAAAGCGUGGGGAGCAAACAGG